rnacentral:rRNA from 1 species
GACGAACGCUGGCGGCGUGCCUAAUACAUGCAAGUAGAACGCACAGUUUAUACCGUAGCUUGCUACACCAUAGACUGUGAGUUGCGAACGGGUGAGUAACGCGUAGAUAACCUGCCUGGUAGCGGGGGAUAACUAUUGGAAACGAUAGCUAAUACCGCAUAAUAUUAAUUAUUGCAUGAUAAUUGAUUGAAAGGUGCAAAUGCAUCACUACCAGAUGGACCUGCGUUGUAUUAGCUAGUAGGUGAGGUAACGGCUCACCUAGGCGACGAUACAUAGCCGACCUGAAAGGGUGAACGGCCACACUGGGACUGAAACACGGCCCACACUCCCACGGGAGGUAGCAUUUGGGAAUCUUUGGAAAUGGACGAAACCCUGAACCACCCACGCCGCGGGAGUGCCUAA